rnacentral:rRNA from 1 species
AUAACCCCGGGAAACUGGGGAUAAUUCCGGAUAACGCACAUAUGCUGGAAUGCUUUAUGCGUGAAAUGGAUUCGUCUGCCCAAGGAUGGGUCUGCGGCCUAUCAGGUAGUAGUGGGUGUAAUGUACCUACUAGCCUACGACGGGUACGGGUUGUGAGAGCAAGAGCCCGGAGAUGGAUUCUGAGACAUGAAUCCAGGCCCUACGGGGCGCAGCAGGCGCGAAAACUUUACAAUGCGGGAAACCGUGAUAAGGGGACACCGAGUGCCAGCAUCCUAUGCUGGCUGUCCAGGUGUGCAAAAUACACCUGUUAGCAAGGGCCGGGCAAGACCGGUGCCAGCCGCCGCGGUAACACCGGCGGCCCGAGUGGUGAUCGUGAUUAUUGGGUCUAAAGGGUCCGUAGCCGGUUUGGUCAGUCCUCCGGGAAAUCUGACAGCUUAACUGUUAGGCUUUCGGAGGAUACUGCCAGACUUGGAACCGGGAGAGGUAAGAGGUACUACAGGGGUAGAAGUGAAAUCUUGUAAUCCCUGUGGGACCACCUGUGGCGAAGGCGUCUUACCAGAACGGGCUCGACGGUGAGGGACGAAAGCUGGGGGCACGAACCGGAUUAGAUACCCGGGUAGUCCCAGCCGUAAACGAUGCUCGCUAGGUGUCAGGCAUGGCGCGACCGUGUCUGGUGCCGCAGGGAAGCCGUGAAGCGAGCCACCUGGGAAGUACGGC